AACGAACGCUGGCAGCAUGCCUAACACAUGCAAGUCGAACGAGACCUUCGGGUCUAGUGGCGCACGGGUGCGUAACGCGUGGGAACCUGCCCUUAGGUUCGGAAUAACUCCCCGAAAGGGGUGCUAAUACCGGAUAAUGUCUUCGGACCAAAGAUUUAUCGCCUUUGGAUGGGCCCGCGUUGGAUUAGCUAGUUGGUAGGGUAAAAGCCUACCAAGGCGACGAUCCAUAGCUGGUCUGAGAGGAUGAUCAGCCACACUGGGACUGAGACACGGCCCAGACUCCUACGGGAAGCAGCAGUGGGGAAUAUUGGACAAUGGGCGAAAGCCUGAUCCAGCAAUGCCGCGUGAGUGAUGAAGGCCUUAGGGUUGUAAAGCUCUUUUACCCGGGAUGAAAAUGACAGUACCGGGAGAAUAAGCUCCGGCUAACUCCGUG
rnacentral:rRNA from 1 species